AGGCACGGAAGGACCUCACUACUACAAAAAGGUUUAUCAGUAACGGUCCAAAAACAUCAUUAGUAAUGGACAGGACGACCGUCACUAACUUCCUGUUACUGAUGAUGGUCAUCAUCAGUAACGGUCGCUCCAACCGUUACUAAUGAUGCCAUCAUCAGUGGCGGUCACAUGUUACAACCGACACUGAUGUGGUUUUGCCAAAAUAAAAAAAAAAGCACGGCCUCCCGGCCGGCCCGCACCAGAAUCAGCGGCAAUACACAACAAUACACAAAUACAUCAUGUAAUAUACAUUCAGUACAAAAGUACAUCCAUAGUCAACAAAUCCCGAGUUCCAGCAAAAACGCAUCGUCGAGAUAUGCGAGAGAGAUGGAGCACUUUAGAAAAAACGAGAGAGGAAGAGAGGGAGAGAAACAAGACAGGGAAAGAGUACUUACCUAGGUCAACGGAGGCGGAUCCAGCGGCGGGCUCGGGAGCGGCGGCUCCUCUCCAUGGCGGCGCUCCAUGGCUGCAGAAAGAGAGCAAAACUCAGAUCUAGAGUAUCUAGAGUGAGUGAGAGAGAGAAAUCACACAGAGAGAGAGGGAUAGAGAGAUUAGAGAGAGAUGGAGACUCACCGAGAGAUCCGGGCGCCUUGGAACACUGCUGCUUCUCCUGGCGCCUUGGGAGGUGGCGCAUGCGAGGGAGAAGGAGGGGCGCUGGCUCGAGGAGGGAGGAGUGGCGCUGGGCCGCUGGCUCGGGGAGGGGGGAGGGGCGCUCGACCGCUGGCUCGGGGAGGGAGGAGGGGCGCUCGGCCGCUGGCUCGGGGAGGGAGGAGGGAGGGAGAUAGAGUGCGGCGGCUGGGGGAGGAGAGAUGGGGAUGGGGGAGAUAGCG
rnacentral:lncRNA from 1 species